CCCUUAGAUGUUCUGGGCCGCACGCGCGCUACGCUGAUGAAUUCAACGAGCUUUAACCUUGGCUGAGAAGCCUGGGUAAUCUUUUGAACGUUCAUCGUGAUGGGGAUAGAUUAUUGCAAUUAUUAAUCUUCAACGAGGAAUUCCUAGUAAACGCAAGUCAUCAGCUUGCAUUGAUUACGUCCCUGCCCUUUGUACACACCGCCCGUCGCUCCUACCGAUCGAAGAGUUAGGUGAAUUGUUUUGAUCGAUAAGAUUUGACUAUGGUCAACUCUCGUUGUGAAAUUCUGUGAAUCUGACUGUUUAGAGGAAGGAAAAGUCGUAACA
rnacentral:rRNA from 1 species